CGGCUUGCGCGCCGCCGCCGCCCGGCCUAUAUCCCUCCGUGCCGGCCUCGGCCGGCUAUGACGAUAAAUGAUGCCGUGUAAUAGACGCAGCGGACCCGGGGGCAGUACCCGGCGGCUCCACCACAAGCCUCGCUUUCAGAGAGGCUUCUGACGGGGCCGAACCAGGAUCGACGUGUGUUCAAAGGCGGUGUUUUCGUCCGGCCUGAUUGAGCCGUUAAACCGAUCAAAUCCACAAGUGCCAACGACAACGAGGCGCUCGCUCUGGCCGCGUAACUGAACCCUCACGGGUGACGUUACCACAACCAUAGCGCGGUUCGGUCCGCACCGGGCAACAGAAGCGGAAUCCA
rnacentral:tmRNA from 1 species